rnacentral:tRNA from 1 species
UGCGGGAUCGUCUAACGGUAGGACACGGCCCUCUGGAGGCCGCUAUCUUGGUUCGAAUCCAAGCCCCGCAA